AAUAUUGGGCAAUGGACGCAAGUCUGACCCAGCCACGCCGCGUGAAGGAUGAAGGCGUUCUGCGUUGUAAACUUCUUUUACUAGUGAAGAAAGUGCGUCUUUUUAGAUGUUUUGACGGUAACUAGUGAAUAAGCACCGGCUAACUCCGUGCCAGCAGCCGCGGUAAUACGGAGGGUGCAAGCGUUAUCCGGAUUUACUGGGUUUAAAGGGUACGUAGGCGGACUUUUAAGUCAGAUGUGAAAGGCCACGGCUUAACCGUGGAACUGCAUUUGAAACUGGAGGGCUUGAGUGUCGGAGAGGGUAGUGGAAUUCCCAGUGUAGCGGUGAAAUGCGUAUAUAUCGGGAGGAACACCAGUGGCGAAGGCGACUACCUGGACGAUAACUGACGCUGAGGCACGAAAGCUAGGGGAGCAAAC
rnacentral:rRNA from 1 species